rnacentral:rRNA from 1 species
GGGGAGGUAGUGACAAUACAUAACAAUGCAGGGCCUUUAAGGUCUUGCAAUUGGAAUGAGUACAAUUUAAAUCCCUUAACGAGGAUCAAUUGGAGGGCAAGUCUGGUGCCAGCAGCCGCGGUAAUUCCAGCUCCAAUAGCGUAUAUUAAAGUUGUUGCAGUUAAAACGUCCGUAGUCAAACUUUAGUCUUACUGGCGUAGUGGCCUGGUCUUCAUUGACCAAGCUCAUUGCUGCCGGAGACUCCAUGUUCAUUAGGGGAAAAUCUCUAGGGGUUUUUUUCUUAUUUGAACAAUUACCAUGAGCAAAUCAGAGUGUUUAAAGCAGGCUUUUAAGCUUGAAUGUGUUAGCAUGGAAUAAUGAAAUAUGACUUUAGUCCUAUUUUCGUUGGUUUAGGUACUUCAGUAAUGAUGAAUAGAAACGGUUAGGGGCAUUUGUAUUUGGUCGCUAGAGGUGAAAUUCUUGGAUUGACCGAAGACAAACUACUGCGAAAGCAUUUGACCCGGGACGUUUUCAUUGAUCAAGGUCUAAAGUUAAGGGAUCGAAGACGAUUAGAUACCGUCGUAGUCUUAACCACAAACUAUGCCGACUAGAGAUUGGGCGUGUUUAUUAUGACUCGCUCAGCAUCUUAGCGAAAGUAAAGUUUUUGGGUUCUGGGGGGAGUAUGGGACGCAAGGCUGAAACUUAAAGGAAUUGACGGAAGGGCACCACCAGGAGUGGAGCCUGCGGCUUAAUUUGACUCAACACGGGGAAACUCACCAGGUCCAGACAUAGUAAGGAUUGACAGAUUGAAAGCUCUUUCUAGAUUCUAUGGGUGGUGGUGCAUGGCCGUUCUUAGUUCGUGGAGUGAUUUGUCUGGUUAAUUCCGAUAACGAACGAGACCUUAUUCUGCUAAUUAGACAGGCCAACUCUUUCGGGUUGGUCUAUAUUAUAUAUUUCACUGGCUUCUUAGAGAGACUAUCGGCUUCAAGCCGAAGGAAGUUUUAGGCAAUAACAGGUCUGUGAU